rnacentral:misc_RNA from 1 species
AGGGAGUAGUCCUACUCCUCCUCCUGGCGGGUAAGCGGCGGGAGUGGUCAACCGCCCUGGGGCGCCUAUACACCCGACAUAGUCCGUGCGGGGUGAAUGGCGGUAGUUGUAGUAGGCUCCGCAGCCGGAGUGCUACGCAUUUAUGCUACUGGUCUACGGUGUGCAGUCUUAUGCUGCAUAUGUUCACUCGUUUGGUGCCGUCUAUACGCAGUGUUUUGCGUAUAGUUUGUGUUAUCUCCCAUUUUAGGUUGCAUUCCGGGGUUAAUCUUGCUCGGCAUGAUAUGUAUGGGAGGUAGCAUCCCCCUCACAAAGGAUUGGACAAAUCCUAGCUGAUUGCUCGUGCUCAAUGACAUUCUGUCGGGCAACUACUGAUAGCGUCAGCAUUUCGCCUGUGGUUGUGUUGGCUUUGCCUAGCCAGUAUGUGAUGCGCCGGUUUAACGUCUCCAAUUACGAUUAUAGCGGGAGCGGCCGGUGUGUGCUGGGCGUGGCUGGUGUCGCUCAUUGCUGAUGCGUGAUGGUAUUCACGGCCCUCGUGGCUUGCUCAGCUUUGGCGCGCCCAUGCUAACGGGUUACGGGUUGUAUUACUCUGUUCUGUUCUGGGCUAAUGCCUGCUUCCCGAGUGAGGGCUGGCUCGGGCCGGUCAUCCUUGCGUUGCUUGGUGUGAUGCUCUUGAUGUGGUUAAGCCGGCUGGCUUGUCCUGUACGUUGGACAGGUUGUAACACCUGGUCUGACUGUGUCUAUACGAUUAUCCCAUCGCAGCUUCGUCUGCCUACGGCGGAGCGCUUUCUAGUUCUGCCAAUCAAGUGGUGCAAAUGGCCCACAUGGUACGGAAAAGUUCAUGUGGUUGCGCCUCAUACACGUGGUGCUAAUUCCUCAUGAGACCCACCUGGGGGCAGAGGAAAUGUGAACA